UCAAGACAUCCCUGUAUUAUAGUGAAGAAGUUUGCAUGUUCAGUAUAUCUGCUGGAUAGUUCGCUGAGUCCAGGAGCAUUUAAACCAACACAGCUUCUUGAACUGCAUUAACAAGAGGGCCAGGGAAGUGAUCUUUCAUGAGAUUUCAUCUGAGUACUGUGACCAGUUUUGGGCUCCCUCCAGUACAGAACGAUAUUGACACAUGGGACAGAGUCAAUCAAAAGGCUUCCAAAACAGCCAGAGGUUGCAGAACACAAUGCACAUGAAGAUGCUGAGACAGCUGGAAUAUUUUCAUCUUGGAGAAGAGAAUGCUAAAAGGAGAUCUUGUUGCUGCUUACAACUUCCUGACUGCAGGACAGGACUGGAAAAUGGAACUAGCCUCUUCUCAGAGGUGCACGAUGAUGGCACAAGAGCCAACAGACACAAGUUGCAACAUGGGGAGCCUCAGAUGUAAACAGAACCUUGAGGGGAGAUUAUGAUGUUACAACCUGGGAUUUGUGAAGACAAUGUCUGGAAGCUAAGAUCCAAAAGGAAGAACUUCAAACAAAUCUUCUGUUUCAGAAAUAGAUGCAGAUGAGAUUGGUAAUUUCCUUAGCAAAUAAAUUAAUUUAUUUCAA